UACGUAGGGUGCAAGCGUUUGUCCGGAAUUAUUGGGCGUAAAGAGCUCGUAGGCGGUUUGUUGCGUCGGCUGUGAAAUCCCGAGGCUCAACCUCGGGUCUGCAGUCGAUACGAGCAAACUAGAGUGUUGCAGGGGAGACUGGAAUUCCUGGUGUAGCGGUGAAAUGCGCAGAUAUCAGGAGGAACACCGGUGGCGAAGGCGGGUCUCUGGGCCGAUACUGACGCUGAGGAGCGAAAGCGUGGGGAGCGAACAGG
rnacentral:rRNA from 1 species